rnacentral:rRNA from 1 species
AUGCCGUCGCCGUCUUUGUUCGUCGCUCUGGUCGAUCAGCUUGCCACGCGGCACGACAGCGGCGGUAGUGGCAGUGGCACCAGCCUCACCCAAGACGUGGGGGAGCACGUCUCACGCCUGUUUCUCCUUGCCUGCGACUUGACGACCGCUUUUCAACCCGCGGACCUGUACCAGCACCUAGAGGGCAUGAUGACGCGCGAGUGGGCAGCGCUGCUUUAUGGAGAGAGUCUUUACACCUCGUCCCCGGCGUCGUCAGAUGCCCCAGAGCCAGCAACGUUGUCGCACUCGUCUCCUCCACCCGAGUGCGCGCCAACGCUCAUCGCCGCCUCUGGCGCGCUCUUGGGCUACGCACGCACGCACGUAACAGAGUUCGAGACGAGCGGCGUGGGACAGGAAUGGGUCGAUGAUGUAUGCGAGCGUUGGCAGUCGAGCGUGCUGCAGCUACUGAGCGCGCAGCCGCCGUUCUCCGCGGAGGCACGCACGGCCGUCUGCUACACCGUGGCGCAGCUGUCCUUGCUGCCUAGGAACUGCUGCGAGCAGGUGCUGAACGCUGCUUGCGAAGCCUUAGAGACAGGGCGCGAGGAUGGUCUGAACGCAAGCAUCGCCACGGAACUAAUCGGCCAGAUCACGUCGCUCAUGGUGCUAUGUAAGCCAUUCCAGCUGCAAGGCCUCGCCCUCGAGGGCCCUGCAGCAGCAGCUGCUGCAGCAACUUCCUGCAAAGCCGCAGCAAGCAAGAAAGACACGGCGCCGACCGCGGGAGCACAGGCGUGGAAGCGCGCGAAGUUGUCGACGCAGCGGCCAGCAGGAGAGGGCGCUGACGCUGGCGCCAGUGCAUUCAACACAGCCGCCUUUGGCUCGGAGGCGCCGACUUUGAGCUGCAGCGCCAUUCCGUCCUGCUACCCUUUUCCGUCUCGUGAGAGGCUCAAAGAGCUGAAGGUGUCUCUCAUCCAAUGCUGCCUUGCCUCUCUCGGUGCCACGGCGGCCGAGGCGAGUACCGUGAGCAGCACCGCCGUGCGAGCAACGCGUGCACAUCAUGGGCAGCAGCAGCACCGCACAGUGCCCGUUGCACUAAUUUGCCAGCGCGUGCUCAUUCCACUGCUGCUGCUCGACGGGGGCCAAGGGCUGGAGCAGUACGAGCAUCUCGUGCACAAUCUUCUGCGCACACUCGCGAGCCGCCCGAAUACUUCGUCGAUGACGGCGGCGAUCUCGCCGGACUCCUCACAACAUUCACCAGGUGCUGCUGCUGAGGAUGCUGUGCUGCUGCUCCAUGGGGACAACUGCGACGAGGUGGUGCUUCUCAUCGCCGCGUUGUUCGACUUUCUCUUUCGACAUUCUUCCCUCGACCCGCGCACGGACUUUCGUUUCUCUGAGUUUCUCUGGACAGUGCUGAGCAGCGCGCUGCAUCGCAGCCUAACAGCGCCGGAGGCGGACGCCGGCCACCGCGCGAACAUGCAGCUACGCGUCGAGUACCUUCUGAAGCGCAUCGUGCACAUGACAAAGCAGCAGCAGCGGGAGCAGUGGCAGGAGCAGCAGGCGAGGCUGCGCACUGACGCGCCCUCUGCAGCUCUGCCGCCCAUCAUCGAGUUUCACCCGCUCUUCCGCUGGUGCACGACCAUCAGCGGUGUCGGCAGUGGGGCCGGCAAGCAUCGAAACGGUGCAGCCGCCGAACAUGGCGACUCGCUCAGCGCCACCACGUGGGACAAUUUCUUCUUGGUGCUGGAAUCACUCAACGAGUACGGCUGGCACAUUAUCGAGCCUGUCAUGGCCCGCCUGGACACCCUCAUUGCUCAGCUGGAUAGCCGGCUUGAGAGUGCCGCGUCGCCAUGCGACGUCGUGGCGGGAUUGACAGUAGGCGUGAGCGCUGCCGCGCUGCACCCGCGGUGGAUCGAAAUGCUGCUUCUGAAGCUUAUCCUUCACCCAAACCUCGGCGUGCGCAAGGUGGGCCUGCGCCGUAUAUGGGCGCUGCCGCAGCGCGUGCUGCGAUCGCUCUCCCCGAGCUUUCUUUUCCAGUACGUCUUCCAGAGUGCGUCAGAUCCGCGGUUGUGCGGCGACAUCGACCGCGUCCCGAUCACCGCGUCCUUCCUGGACACCAAGGCGUUCGAGGGGACGGAGGUGAAGGCUGUGCCGGAUGUGGAGCCGCUUGCACAGGAGGUGGAGCGCUUCUACGCGUCCCUCUUCGCCCACCGCUGGACUUCCAGCGACGCCGACGCCGUGGCGGGCCGCAUCGACGCUCUGCAUUGCAUGCUGGACACGGCCAUCAAAAAGCCGCCGCGCUUCACAGUAUGCACGCUGGCGCGUGUGCUGCUCGCCAUUGCGCAGGUUUUUCUAGACCACGGCCUCGAUGCGGAGCCUGUCCUACUCGAUGAGGGGGUGUUGGGGCGGUUGCACCGCUUCAUGCGUGACUCUGUCCAGGAGAACGUUCCGUUCUGGCUGGAUGUGCGUGUGACGGUCAUCCUUUUCGCGGCACUUACAACGCUAGCGGCUGCGACGGCUUCUCCGCGCCGCUGUCGGCUGCACUCGGCUUUCUGGCGCCUGUACUGCAUAUGCGGCCCACUCGGCGAGUCGGGAGGCCACAGCAUCGCGAGCGUAGACGCGUGUGGGCAGUACGGCCUCGUCGGCGCCUCUGUUGAGGAGCGCUUUCUGCAGCACUGGCUUGUGCAGUUCAGCGCGCGACAGCAGCCGAUGCGGCAGGCCAACUUUGACAAGGCGGCGCCUUCACUGUUAGAGGCGUUACUGGAUGUCGAGGGGCUGGCCUGCCGCGUUGAGGCACUACUGCGGGCGCCCGCAGAACCCUGCUCACAUGAGGUGGUGAACAUUGUGGCAGUCAAGGAGACGUUCUUCUUGGUCGGCGCUCUCACACGCACCGGGUCCAUGCGUCACGCUGAGCUCGUGCGAGCCAUCGGCGAUCGCAUUGCGACCACGAUCGCGUCGCUGCAGACGCGCGCCUACUGCACUGCUGCACACGUGCUGGCAAGCGCGGCGUGCUUGGUGGAGUUCCAGCACAGCGUUGGCGGUGCCGUGUGCGCUCAGCUGUGGCCAGUGAACACGACACUGCAGUCCAUAGCUUCUGCUUUACACGGCCACGUCAUGGCGGCCCUGCAGGCGAGCGUGCGUAGCAUCUGCGACGCUGCAGAGGCGCCGGGGCAGUUGCGCACCGUGCGCUCGCUGUUCGAAGGUGAGACGCACGACGAAGCCGACACAACAUGGGCACUCAUGAACAUCACAAACUUCGACGUACUGGCAGCUGCCAUAGCCUCUCUCAACGCGAUCGCGUGCGAUCCGACGACGCGCACACCGGCCGCUGCUGCUGCUGCUGCAGAGGCGUUAAACGCCCCACAGCAUGUGCGGCAGCUUAUGUGUCUUCUUCGCGAGUGCUCCGCCGCUUACGAGUCCAUGUCUGCGUCGGGUGCCGGCACCGCUAGCAGCGAGGAGGCGGGGCAAAAGCGACUUGCCGCGUUGCUGAUCGUCAGCCGCAACGCGGCCCGCCUACUGCAGAGUGAGUUAUGCGGGUAUCUCUCUGUGAAGCACGAGGCGAGCACCGCGCCGCAGGCGCGGCACGAUGAAGGCCUCGACACGGUGGCAAAGGGACGCCUGCUGUUCCCGACUGCUUUGCCGACGUGCCGGGAGGCGCCGCCAUUCUCUGCCGCCGCCAGCUCCCGCUGUCCGAUUGCCGUGGUGCUGCCACGUGACGUGCUAGAGGUGUACGUCGACCAGCUCAUGGCGCUGCCAUCGCAGCGCGUCCCAUCAGGUGCCGUCCCCAGUGCGUUGUCGAACCUGCCGUGGUCUACGCUGCUCAGCCAGCAGGGCCGCUACGUGUGCAACGCGCUCUAUGUCCUUUUGCUGUCCCUGACUGCCGCUGAACAGGAAGACACCGACACCGCAGCAUCGAAUUCGACGCGGACAUCUCCUGGUCUUGUGAGACGCGUGCAGGACUACGCACUGGGCCAGCUUAGCGAGUGCUGGACCGUGAACCUUGCCAGUGUGUACGAUGUGCUGCUCUGGGUGUCGUCCUCGAAUGUGCCAGAGGUGGUGGAUUACGUCACCAUCGCGGACGGCAUGUGGGAGCACAUGCGAGAAGUCGGUGCGCGCCAAUACACUCGACUCGCUGCCCUUGCAUUCACCGUGCUGCACUACGUCAUGCCGCACCAUCCCGACUACGUAAAGGAGGCCCUGCUGCGAGUUCUCAAGGGCGAGGGCAAGGAUGCACAGACGGCGGACCGUGACGUCUACUUUGCCGCCAUAACGGCCUCGCUGCAGGUGCUGCAUAACCCCGCCAACAACUGGCCCGUGUUGCGCGAUGUGGUCUUGUACGCUGCCGUUUUCUUCAAUACGAACCGCGACGAGGAGGAGAAUGAGUCGACGGUGGCCGUCACGGAGCCGCUUCUAUGGACUUGGCCGGAGGCUCUGCGACAGUGCUACCCGCCCACCACUUGCAUGGCUGGCGUGGGCCGCGCCAUGGCAGUGGCGACGUUGCUGUGGUGCUGUUACGAGAACGUGGCGGGCCGUGCGGUGCCGCUCACGAUGGAGCUGCUGCGUAUGAACACGUGCCACCCGUUGGUGACGCACGAGCCAUGCAUGCCCAACUCACGGACACACCGCACACGUAUGCGUCUGUGGCAGCUCCUCUGCGCGCUGCUGCCUUGCCUGGCUGAACAGCACUCGGUGCCACCUGCCCAGGUGGAGGAGGUGUUUCGCAUGCUCGUGUUCCACUGCUUGACGGUGAACAACAUGGGGAGCGUCCGCCGGCUGAUGGAGCUGUACGCGAUUCGGCUCGUGGAGCAGCGACCCGCUCUCUACACCGUCUUGAGUGAGGCCCUUGGCAGCCACAGCCUCCGCCCUCAGGUUUGCGGCAGCUACAUCCUCAUUGCCUGCCACGUGCUGCUGCGGCAGGAAGAGGCCGGCGGCGCCGACGAGUCUGCCGCUGCUGCGGCGGGUGACGAGGCGCUUGCGUCUGGCAUCUUCGCAUCGCUCUUCCCACGCAUUCUGCAGCAGAGCACGUCGAACCAGCACCUCCUGCGCAUCAUCAGUCAUAUCGGACUUUUCAACAUCUGCCGACGCCGCCUCGCGCGCGGACGCCCCGUCCCGCCUGCCGUGGCAGCCAUCUACGAAUACGUACUGCAUGCCCCGGAGCACGUGAGGCUUCGCGAGAAGCACGAGAGCAUGCUUUUCUUUGACACGGAAGCGGCGAGCAGCCCUCGCAGCCUCUUUUGCGUCCAGCGCAAGGAGGCGAACACCGUACUGGCGGAGGUGCUGCCGGCUGCCGCCUUCGAGCGGCUGCGCUUUGUAGAGACGGAGAUGUGUUGCAUGAUUGGCGCCCUCUACCCGAUGGAGCUGCUGCGCGUGCACGACUGGUGUGCAAGCCUGAGGGUGCAGGAGCGGGUGUCCGUCUUGAAGGGCUUUCGCGGCAUCCCUCACACGAGUACGCCGUCAGACUACUAUGUGGAUUACACACGGGAGGCGACGGAGCUGCUGACGCGCGAUCCGAUGCUGGAGGCGUCUGCCGCCGCCGCAAUUGCGAGGCCCGCCGCAGUCGGUGCUGGAGAUGAGGCCAGCGGUGCCGACGCGGCCACGGCGAACGUGCAGAAAAAGGUUUCAUCAUGGUGGACGAGCGAGGUGUACAACGAGCUGCACCCACGUGCGCUGCGUACGCAGAAGCAGUCCAUCAUCGUCGUCGGCUCGCUGCUCGAGAAUCCGGUGAACAUCGCCGGCUUGUGCCGCUGCGGCGAAAUCUUCGCCAUCGAGUCGCUCGUGGUGCCGGAGAAGAAGGUGUUUGAGCAUCCGCACUUUGUGGCAGCAGCGCGCAGCGCAGAGCUUUGGAUCCCGUGGGAGGAAGUCGUGCCGAAGGACCUGCCCGGCUACCUCGAGGGUCUGCGGCGUCGCGGCUACGUGGUUGUCGGCAUCGAGCAGACGGCGGCGAGUGUGCCGUUGGAGCAGUUUUCCUUCCCGGAGCGGUGUGCGGUGGUGCUUGGUGCGGAGGGCCAGGGCGUGCCAGCCCCACUUAUUCCGCUGCUCGACGUCUGCGUCGAGAUUCCGCAGUACGGGCUCAUUCGCUCGCUGAACGUGCACGUAGCAGGUGCCAUAACCAUGUACGAGUACACACGGCAGCACCUGAUGGCCCAAUCGCAUCCCUCCACGUGA